rnacentral:rRNA from 1 species
UUGGAGGGCAAGUCUGGUGCCAGCAGCCGCGGUAAUUCCAGCUCCAAUAGCGUAUAUUAAAGUUGCUGCAGUUAAAAAGCUCGUAGUUGAAUUUCGGGACCAUCAUGUUGGUCGUGCCUCGGUACGUACUGGUAUUGUUGGUUUCUCCCUUCUGACGAACCAUGAUGUCAUUUAUUUGGUGUUGUGGGAAAUCAGGACUGUUACUUUGAAAAAAUUAGAGUGUUUAAAGCAGGCUCACGCUUGAAUACAUUAGCAUGGAAUAAUGAAAUAGGACGUUUGAUUCUAUUUUGUUGGUUUCUAGGAUCGACGUAAUGAUUAAUAGGGAUAGUUGGGGGCAUUAGUAUUCAAUUGUCAGAGGUGAAAUUCUUGGAUUUAUUGAAGACUAACUACUGCGAAAGCAUUUGCCAAGGAUGUUUUCAUUAAUCAAGAACGAAAGUUAGGGGAUCGAAGACGAUCAGAUACCGUCGUAGUCUUAACCAUAAACUAUGCCGACUAGGGAUCGGGUGAUGUUAAUUUUUUAAUGACUCAUUCGGCGCCUUACGGGAAACA